rnacentral:rRNA from 1 species
UACGUAGGGGGCAAGCGUUGUCCGGAAUCAUUGGGCGUAAAGAGCGUGUAGGUGGCUCGGUAAGUCCGCUGUAAAAGUCCAGGGCUCAACCCUGGAAAGCCGGUGGAAACUGUCGAGCUAGAGUCCGGAAGAGGCGAGUGGAAUUCCUGGUGUAGCGGUGAAAUGCGCAGAUAUCAGGAGGAACACCAAUGGCGAAGGCAGCUCGCUGGGACGGUACUGACACUGAGGCACGAAAGCUAGGGGAGCAAACAGG